UACGUAGGAUGCGAGCGUUGUCCGGAAUUAUUGGGCGUAAAGAGAACGUAGGCGGUUUGUUUAAGUUUGGGCUUAAAGACUGGGGCUCAACCCCAGGAGUGGCUCGAAAACUGACAGACUAGAGGAUGGCAGAGGAAAGUGGAAUUCCCAGUGUAGCGGUGAAAUGCGUAGAUAUUGGGAGGAACACCAGUGGCGAAAGCGACUUUCUGGGCCAUUCCUGACGCUGAGGUUCGAAAGCUCGGGGAGCAAACAGG
rnacentral:rRNA from 1 species